rnacentral:misc_RNA from 1 species
GAUGAAGAACGUAGCGAAUUGCGAUAUGUAAUGUGAAUUGCAGAAUUCAGUGAAUCAUCGAAUCUUUGAACGCACAUUGCGCCCCCUGGUAUUCCGGGGGGCAUGCCUGUUCGAGCGUCAUUUCACCACUCAAGCCUCGCUUGGUAUUGGGCAACGCGGUCCGCCGCGUGCCUCAAAUCGACCGGCUGGGUCUUCUGUCCCCUAAGCGUUGUGGAAACUAUUCGCUAAAGGGUGUUCGGGAGGCUACGCCGUAAAACAACCCCAUUUCUAAGGUUGACCUCGGAUCAGGUAGGGAUACCCGCUGAACUUAAGCAUAUCAAUAAGCGGAGGA